rnacentral:rRNA from 1 species
CCUACGGGAGGCAGCAGUGGGGAAUUUUGCGCAAUGCUCGUAAGAGUGACGCAGCGACGCCGCGUGAAUGACGAAGGCCUUCGGGUCGUAAAGUUCUUUCGACAGGGAAGAAAAUGCCUAUAAGUAACUGUGUAUGUAUUGACGGUACCUGUAUAAGCAGCCCCGGCUAACUCCGUGCCAGCAGCCGCGGUAAUACGGAGGGGGCGAGCGUUGUUCGGAGGGACUGGGCGUAAAGAGCACGUAGGCGGUGUUGUAAGUCAUUAGUCAAAGACUAGAGCUCAACGUUAGUAAGGCUAGUGAUACUAUAAUACUAGAGUAUCAGAGAGGAGUGCAGAAUGCCUGGUGUAGCGGUGAAAUGCGUAGAUAUCAGGAGGAAUACCGUUAGCGAAGGCGGCAAUCUGGCUGGAAACUGACGCUGAGGUGCGAAAGCGUGGGUAGCAAACAGGAUUAGAUACCCCUGUAGUC